rnacentral:rRNA from 1 species
AAUCUUUCACAAUGGAGGGAACUCUGAUGCAGCGACGUCGCGUGAACGUAGAAGUCUUUCGAGUCGUAAAGUUCUGUCCUAUGGGACGAUAAUUACGGUACCAUAGGAGGAAGCCCCGGCUAACUACAUGCCAGCAGCCGCGGUAAUACGUAGGGGGCGAACGUUGUCCGGAGUUAUUGGGAGUAAAGGGUACGCAGGCGGCCAUGUAAGUCAGAUAUGAAAGGUCUGGGCUUAAACCAGGUGAGCAUUUGAAACUGUGUGGCUUGAGUGAAGGAGAGGAAAGUGGAUUACCUGGUGUAGCGGUGAAAUGCGUAGAUAUCAGGAGGAAUACCAGUGGCGAAGGAGACUUUCUGGACUUAUACUGACGCUGAGGUACGAAAGCGUGGGGAGCAAACA